rnacentral:rRNA from 1 species
GUCCGGGAGGACCAGCAGGUCCUUGGCUUCCUGCUGGCCAACCUCACAAAGGAGGUUCUGGUGACGGUGACCAUGGUCACCACGGCGAGCGCGCUCUGGACGACGCUCGCUGCCAUGUUCUCGUCGCACUCGGCGAGCCGCAUCAACAACAUCCGCACCUCCCUCAUCAACGCGCAGAAGGGUAAUCUCUCGGUUGCCUCUUACUUUGCUGCCAUGCGAGGUUUUGCAGAUGAACUAGCCGCGGCGGGCAAGGCCAUCCAGGAUGACGAACUAGUCUCCUACAUCAUCCACGGGCUAGACGCCGAUUACCAGCCUCUGGUGUCUGCUCUCGACGCUCGUGUGACCCCCGUCACACUCGAUGAACUCUACGCCAUGCUCUCCAACUUCGACCAGCGUGUGGCCCAUUACCACGGG